rnacentral:tRNA from 1 species
CGGUUACGUAGGUGACACUGGGUGCCUGGCGCUUCCAGUGCGCCACGACCUUGCGGAUCUCCUCCUCGGUGACGAAC